AUCACCCCUUUCAAAGCUGGAAUCGAAAAACAGUGCAUCUUGGGGGUUUUCUAGGCUGAGGCUCCUUGUCUGCAGAAUCCUCACUCCCAUCAAUAGAAUAAAUAGAAUGAUGAUCAGAUAAUUGGGCAGAAUCACCGAGACAACAGCCUAUACACACAUAUCGAGAACUCGCGGGCAAUGUACGAAUAAUGGAUGGACUGCCAAUCCAAGGGGGCAGUUUUCUUCUACGUCUGCAAUGUCCGCUCCCUCUACUCCAGACACAUAAUAAGCCAUCCACACAGGCACUUAUUAAGGCACCACAUGUACCGGAAAUUGAGUUUGCAGCACCAUUACUUGAAUAAUCUGUUUCUUUAACAUCACCUGAAACGACCACAGGAUAACAGAUGCUGAGAUCAGCUAUUGGCGCAGCAUGACC
rnacentral:misc_RNA from 1 species